UUAAGCGACUAAGCGUACACGGUGGAUGCCCUGGCAGUCAGAGGCGAUGAAGGACGUGCUAAUCUGCGAAAAGCGUCGGUAAGGUGAUAUGAACCGUUAUAGCCGGCGAUGUCCGAAUGGGGAAACCCAGUGCAAUUCGUUGCACUAUCGUUAACUGAAUACAUAGGUUAACGAGGCGAACCGGGGGAACUGAAACAUCUAAGUACCCCGAGGAAAAGAAAUCAACCGAGAUUCCCCCAGUAGCGGCGAGCGAACGGGGAGCAGCCCAGAGUCUGAAUCAGCUUGUGUGUUAGUGGAACGGUCUGGAAAGUCCGACGGUACAGGGUGAUAGUCCCGUACACCAAAAUGCACAGGCUGUGAACUCGAAGAGUAGGGCGGGACACGUGGUAUCCUGUCUGAAUAUGGGGGGACCAUCCUCCAAGGCUAAAUACUCCUGACUGACCGAUAGUGAACCAGUACCGUGAGGGAAAGGCGAAAAGAACCCCGGCGAGGGGAGUGAAAAAGAACCUGAAACCGUGUACGUACAAGCAGUGGGAGCACCUUCGGGUGUGACUGCGUACCUUUUGUAUAAUGGGUCAGCGACUUAUAUUCUGUAGCAAGGUUAACCGUAUAGGGGAGCCGCAGGGAAACCGAGUCUUAACUGGGCGUUAAGUUGCAGGGUAUAGACCCGAAACCCGGUGAUCUAGCCAUGGGCAGGUUGAAGGUUGGGUAACACUAACUGGAGGACCGAACCGACUAAUGUUGAAAAAUUAGCGGAUGACUUGUGGCUGGGGGUGAAAGGCCAAUCAAACCGGGAGAUAGCUGGUUCUCCCCGAAAGCUAUUUAGGUAGCGCCUCGUGAAUUCAUCUUCGGGGGUAGAGCACUGUUUCGGCUAGGGGGUCAUCCCGACUUACCAACCCGAUGCAAACUACGAAUACCGAAGAAUGUUAUCACGGGAGACACACGGCGGGUGCUAACGUCCGUCGUGAAGAGGGAAACAACCCAGACCGCCAGCUAAGGUCCCAAAGUCAUGGUUAAGUGGGAAACGAUGUGGGAAGGCACAGACAGCCAGGAUGUUGGCUUAGAAGCAGCCAUCAUUUAAAGAAAGCGUAAUAGCUCACUGGUCGAGUCGGCCUGCGCGGAAGAUGUAACGGGGCUAAACCAUGCACCGAAGCUGCGGCAGCGACACUAUGUGUUGUUGGGUAGGGGAGCGUUCUGUAAGCCUGCGAAGGUGACCUGUGAGGCAUGCUGGAGGUAUCAGAAGUGCGAAUGCUGACAUAAGUAACGAUAAAGCGGGUGAAAAGCCCGCUCGCCGGAAGACCAAGGGUUCCUGUCCAACGUUAAUCGGGGCAGGGUGAGUCGACCCCUAAGGCGAGGCCGAAAGGCGUAGUCGAUGGGAAACAGGUUAAUAUUCCUGUACUUGGUGUUACUGCGAAGGGGGGACGGAGAAGGCUAUGUUAGCCGGGCGACGGUUGUCCCGGUUUAAGCAUGUAGGCUGAUUGUCCAGGCAAAUCCGGAUAAUCAAGGCUGAGGUGUGAUGACGAGGCACUACGGUGCUGAAGUAACAAAUGCCCUGCUUCCAGGAAAAGCCUCUAAGCAUCAGGUAACAUUAAAUCGUACCCCAAACCGACACAGGUGGUCAGGUAGAGAAUACCAAGGCGCUUGAGAGAACUCGGGUGAAGGAACUAGGCAAAAUGGUGCCGUAACUUCGGGAGAAGGCACGCUGGUGUGUAGGUGAAGUCCCUGCGGAUGGAGCUGAGACCAGUCGAAGAUACCAGCUGGCUGCAACUGUUUAUUAAAAACACAGCACUGUGCAAACACGAAAGUGGACGUAUACGGUGUGACGCCUGCCCGGUGCCGGAAGGUUAAUUGAUGGGGUUAUCCGUAAGGAGAAGCUCUUGAUCGAAGCCCCGGUAAACGGCGGCCGUAACUAUAACGGUCCUAAGGUAGCGAAAUUCCUUGUCGGGUAAGUUCCGACCUGCACGAAUGGCGUAAUGAUGGCCAGGCUGUCUCCACCCGAGACUCAGUGAAAUUGAACUCGCUGUGAAGAUGCAGUGUACCCGCGGCAAGACGGAAAGACCCCGUGAACCUUUACUAUAGCUUGACACUGAACAUUGAGCCUUGAUGUGUAGGAUAGGUGGGAGGCUUUGAAGCGUGGACGCCAGUCUGCGUGGAGCCAACCUUGAAAUACCACCCUUUAAUGUUUGAUGUUCUAACGUUGGCCCCUGACCGGGGUUGCGGACAGUGUCUGGUGGGUAGUUUGACUGGGGCGGUCUCCUCCCAAAGCGUAACGGAGGAGCACGAAGGUUAGCUAAUCCUGGUCGGACAUCAGGAGGUUAGUGCAAUGGCAUAAGCUAGCUUGACUGCGAGCGUGACGGCGCGAGCAGGUGCGAAAGCAGGUCAUAGUGAUCCGGUGGUUCUGAAUGGAAGGGCCAUCGCUCAACGGAUAAAAGGUACUCCGGGGAUAACAGGCUGAUACCGCCCAAGAGUUCAUAUCGACGGCGGUGUUUGGCACCUCGAUGUCGGCUCAUCACAUCCUGGGGCUGAAGUAGGUCCCAAGGGUAUGGCUGUUCGCCAUUUAAAGUGGUACGCGAGCUGGGUUUAGAACGUCGUGAGACAGUUCGGUCCCUAUCUGCCGUGGGCGCUGGAGAAUUGAGGGGGGCUGCUCCUAGUACGAGAGGACCGGAGUGGACGCAUCACUGGUGUUCGGGUUGUCAUGCCAAUGGCACUGCCCGGUAGCUAAAUGCGGAAGAGAUAAGUGCUGAAAGCAUCUAAGCACGAAACUUGCCCCGAGAUGAGUUCUCCCUGAGACUUUAAGUCUCCUGAAGGAACGUUGAAGACGACGACGUUGAUAGGCCGGGUGUGUAAGCGCAGCGAUGCGUUGAGCUAACCGGUACUAAUGAACCGUGAGGCUUAACCU
rnacentral:rRNA from 1 species